GGAACUUCAUACCGUGCUCU
rnacentral:miRNA from 8 species